UUCAGCUGCGCUAGCAAGCGCCUUAAAAAAACAGAUUGAUCAAUUUCUUUUUUUACAUAUUCAUAAUUUUGUGUUUUAGAAAAUAGAACUGUGGUAACAUGGACAUUUUUCAGUACAUUUGUUU